GGUCAAAAGAAUAGUUUGAAAAAGGCUAUUUUUUUUUGACUUAAAAAACUUAUCCACAGUGUGGGAAAUGUCUUCUAACGCUUGUGCCUGGUUCAGUCUAGUGCUGCCACUUGAGUUUAUCCUUAGAUCAAGGGAUCUUUGGGUAGUUGUUCAUUAUUUUCUCUCUCUUUUUAGGGGGGGGGAGAUUAAUGAUGGGCACCUCUUGUAAAGGGGAUAAGAUUACUUUUAUUAUACUAAAUUUUACUGAACUGAUAGACCAUAAAUCUAUGGUUGUUUUUUAUUAUAAUUAAAAAAAAAAAACAACUUUCAGCAAUGGAUCUCUCGGCUUUCGUAUCGAUGAAGAACGCAGCAAAUCGCGAUAUGUAAUGUGAUCUGCCUAUAGUGAAUCAUCAAAUCUUUGAACGCAUCUUGCACCUUAUGGUAUUCCAUAAGGUACGUCUGUUUCAGUACCACUAAUAAAUCUCUCUCUAUCCUUGAU
rnacentral:misc_RNA from 1 species